GGAGAAAAGCAGGGGAUCGUAAGACCUUGCGUUAAUGGAGCGGCCGAUAUCUGAUUAGCUAGUUGGUGAGGUAAAGGCUCACCAAGGCGACGAUCAGUAGCUGGUUUGAGAGAACGACCAGCCACACUGGAACUGAGACACGGUCCAGACUCCUACGGGAGGCAGCAGUGGGGAAUUUUGGACAAUGGGGGCAACCCUGAUCCAGCCAUUCCGCGUGAGUGAAGAAGGCCUUCGGGUUGUAAAGCUCUUUCGCAAGGGAAGAAAACUUAUGAUCGAAUAAAUCAUGAGGUUGACGGUACCUUGAUAAGAAGCACCGGCUAACUACGUGCCAGCAGCCGCGGUAAUACGUAGGGUGCGAGCGUUAAUCGGAAUUACUGGGCGUAAAGCGUGCGCAGGCGGUUUUGUAAGUCGGAUGUGAAAUCCCCGGGCUCAACCUGGGAACUGCGUUUGAAACUACAAAGCUAG
rnacentral:rRNA from 1 species